AACAAAAAAUUGGGACUUUGUAAUUGGG
rnacentral:piRNA from 1 species